rnacentral:rRNA from 1 species
GAUGAACGCUGGCGGCGUGCCUAAUACAUGCAAGUCGAGCGAAAAGAAGAGGAGCUUGCUCCUCUGACGUUAGCGGUGGACGGGUGAGUAACACGUGGAUAACCUACCUAUAAGACUGGGAUAACUUCGGGAAACCGGAGCUAAUACCGGAUAACAUGUUGAACCGCAUGGUUCAACAGUGAAAGACGGUCUUGCUGUCACUUAUAGAUGGAUCCGCGCCGCAUUAGAUAGUUGGUAAGGUAACGGCGUACCAAGGCAACGAUGCGUAGCCGCGCGGGGAGGGGGAUCGGCCACGCUGGAACUGAGACACGGUCCAGACUCCUACGGGAGGCAGCAGUAGGGAAUCUUCCGGAAUGGGCGAAAGCCGGACGGAGCAACGCAGCGUGAGUGAAGAAGGUCUUCGGAUCGUAAAACUCUGUUAUUAGUGAAGAACAAAUGUGUAAGUAACUAUGCACGUCUUGACGGUACCUAAUCAGAAAGCCACGGCUAACUACGUGCCAGCCGCCGCCGUAA